rnacentral:rRNA from 1 species
AAUAGAUACCCAGGUAGUCCAUGCCGUAAACGUUGGGAACUAGAUGUAGGGCCUGUUCCACGGGUUCUGUGUCGUAGCUAACGCAUUAAGUUCCCCGCCUGGGGAGUACGGCCGCAAGGCUAAAACUCAAAGGAAUUGACGGGGGCCCGCACAAGCGGCGGAGCAUGCGGAUUAAUUCGAUGCAACGCGAAGAACCUUACCAAGGCUUGACAUGUAGAAGAACACUGUAGAGAUACAGGACUCUUUGGACACUUCUAUACAGGUGGUGCAUGGUUGUCGUCAGCUCGUGUCGUGAGAUGUUCGGUUAAGUCCGGCAACGAGCGCAACCCUCGUCCUAUGUUGCCAGCACGUGAUGGUGGGAACUCAUGGGAUACUGCCGUGGUCAACACGGAGGAAGGUGGGGAUGACGUCAAAUCAUCAUGCCCCUUAUGUCUUGGGCUUCACGCAUGCUACAAUGGCCGGUACAAGGACUGCGAUACCGCAAGGUGGAGCGAAUCCCAAAAGCCGGUCUCAGUUCGGAUUGGGGU